AGCGAACGUUAGCGGCGGGCCUAACACAUGCAAGUCGAACGAGAAAAUCCCUUCGGGGGUGAGUACAGUGGCGCACGGGUGAGGAACGCGUAGGUAAUCUACCCUUUGGCGGGGGACAACAUUCCGAAAGGAAUGCUAAUACCGCGUAAGACCACGCCCACUGCGGUGGAAGUGGUAAAAGGUGCCUCAAAGCACCACCAGAGGAUGAGCCUGCGUCCCAUCAGCUUGUUGGUAAGGUAAUGGCUUACCAAGGCUAAGACGGGUAGCUGGUCUGAGAGGAUGAUCAGCCACACUGGCACUGGAACACGGGCCAGACUCCUACGGGAGGCAGCAGUGAGGAAUAUUGGGCAAUGGGCGCAAGCCUGACCCAGCCACGCCGCGUGUGUGAUGAAGGCCUUCGGGUCGUAAAGCACUGUGGGGAGAGACGAAACAGCGCGCCAGGAAAUGGGUGCGCCUUGACGGUACCUCCUUAGCAAGCACCGGCUAACUCUGUGCCANNAGCCGCGGUAAUACAGAGGGUGCAAACGUUGCUCGGAUUUACUGGGCGUAAAGCGCGUGUAGNCGGACUCGCAAGUCGGUUGUGAAAUUCCUGGGCUUAACCUAGGAACUGCAUCCGAAACUGCUUGUCUUGAGUAAUGGAGAGGGUGGCGGAAUUCCCGGUGUAGAGGUGAAAUUCGUAGAUAUCGGGAGGAACAUCAGUGGCGAAGGCGGCCACCUGGACAUUUACUGACGCUGAGACGCGAAAGCGUGGGGAGCAAACAGGAUUAGAUACACUGGUAGUCCACGCCGUAAACGAUGAGAACUAGGUGCAGCGGAUA
rnacentral:rRNA from 1 species